rnacentral:tRNA from 1 species
UGGUAAGUAGUUUAAACAAAACAAAUGAUUUCGACUCAUUAAAUUAUGAUAUCCAUACUAACCAA